rnacentral:rRNA from 2 species
UGGGGGACAACGUUUCGAAAGGAACGCUAAUACCGCAUACGUCCUACGGGAGAAAGCAGGGGACCUUCGGGCCUUGCGCUAUCAGAUGAGCCUAGGUCGGAUUAGCUAGUUGGUGAGGUAAUGGCUCACCAAGGCGACGAUCCGUAACUGGUCUGAGAGGAUGAUCAGUCACACUGGAACUGAGACACGGUCCAGACUCCUACGGGAGGCAGCAGUGGGGAAUAUUGGACAAUGGGCGAAAGCCUGAUCCAGCCAUGCCGCGUGUGUGAAGAAGGUCUUCGGAUUGUAAAGCACUUUAAGUUGGGAGGAAGGGCAUUAACCUAAUACGUUAGUGUUUUGACGUUACCGACAGAAUAAGCACCGGCUAACUCUGUGCCAGCAGCCGCGGUAAUACAGAGGGUGCAAGCGUUAAUCGGAAUUACUGGGCGUAAAGCGCGCGUAGGUGGUUUGUUAAGUUGGAUGUGAAAGCCCCGGGCUCAACCUGGGAACUGCAUCCAAAACUGGCAAGCUAGAGUACGGUAGAGGGUGGUGGAAUUUCCUGUGUAGCGGUGAAAUGCGUA